GCUUAACGCGAAGAACCUUACCCAGGCUUGACAUCCUGCUAAUCACUCCGAAAGGAGAGAGUGCCUUCGGGCCGCAGUGACAGGUGUUGCAUGGCCGUCGUCAGCUCGUGUCGUGAGAUGUUUGGUUAAGUCCAUCAACGAGCGCAACCCUUAUAGUUAGUUGUAUUUCUCUAGCUAGACUGCCCUGGCAACAGGGAGGAAGGAGGGGGAUGAUGUCAGGUCAGUAUUACCCUUACGCCUGGGGCUACAAACACGCUACAAUGGCCGGUACAAAGGGCAGCCAACCCGCGAGGGGGAGCAAAUCCCAUCAAAGCCGGUCUCAGUUCGGAUUGCAGGCUGAAACUCGCCUGCAUGAAGCUGGAAUCGCUAGUAAUGGUAGGUCAGCACACUACCGUGAAUACGUUCCCGGGUCUUGUACACACCGGGUCUUGUACACACCGGGGUCUUGUACACACCG
rnacentral:rRNA from 1 species